CAGCCGCCGCGGGAAUACGUAGGUGGCAAGCGUUAUCCGGAAUUAUUGGGCGUAAAGCGCGCGUAGGCGGUUUUUUAAGUCUGAUGUGAGAGCCCACGGCUCAACCGUGGAGGGUCAUUGGAAACUGGAAAACUUGAGUGCAGAAGAGGAAAGUGGAAUUCCAUGUGUAGCGGUGAAAUGCGCAGAGAUAUGGAGGAACACCAGUGGCGAAGGCGACUUUCUGGUCUGUAACUGACGCUGAUGUGCGAAAGCGUGGGGAUCAAACAGGAUUAGAUACCCGCGUAGUCCCUGUCUCUUAUAC
rnacentral:rRNA from 1 species